rnacentral:tRNA from 1 species
GGGCCGUUAGCUCAGUUGGUUAGAGCAGAGGACUCAUAAUCCUGUGGCGCCUGCCAGGGCCUAAAUCCUGGGGCCCC